UACGUAGGGUGCGAGCGUUGUCCGGAAUUAUUGGGCGUAAAGAGCGUGUAGGCGGCCAGAUAAGUCCGCUGUGAAAUCUCGAGGCUCAACUUCGAGCUGUCGGUGGAAACUGUCUGGCUAGAGUCCGGAAGAGGAGAAUGGAAUUCCUGGUGUAGCGGUGAAAUGCGCAGAUAUCAGGAAGAACACCCGUGGCGAAGGCGGCUCUCUGGGACGGUACUGACGCUGAGACGCGAAAGCGUGGGGAGCGAACAGG
rnacentral:rRNA from 1 species